rnacentral:rRNA from 1 species
AUGAACGCUGGCGGCGUGCCUCAUCCCUGCAAGUCGAGCGAACGGACGAGAAGCUUGCUUCUCUGAUGUUAGCGGCGGACGGGUGAGUAACACGUGGAUAACCUACCUAUAAGACUGGGAUAACUUCGGGAAACCGGAGCUAAUACCGGAUAAUAUUUUGAACCGCAUGGUUCAAAAGUGAAAGACGGUCUUGCUGUCACUUAUAGAUGGAUCCGCGCUGCAUUAGCUAGUUGGUAAGGUAACGGCUUACCAAGGCAACGAUGCAUAGCCGACCUGAGAGGGUGAUCGGCCACACUGGAACUGAGACACGGUCCAGACUCCUACGGGAGGCAGCAGUAGGGAAUCUUCCGCAAUGGGCGAAAGCCUGACGGAGCAACGCCGCGUGAGUGAUGAAGGUCUUCGGAUCGUAAAACUCUGUUAUUAGGGAAGAACAUAUGUGUGAGUAACUGUGCACAUCUUGACGGUACCUAAUCAGAAAGCCACGGCUAACUACGUG